AAACUAAAACAAAAAGAACCGAGUUGUAAAUAAGCAGAGUGGCCCCACAGUCAGAACUGCAGAGACUGAACAUUGUCUCUUCUUCUGUACUCAUCUCCAUUUUUCUCUGUCUUUCUUCUACCCUAAUCUCCUCUUUAAUUUCUCCAAAAAAAAAAAAAAAAAUUGAGUGACUGGCCUGUCAUGAAAUGAACCCUAUUAGUACAGAACUCUUAACGGUUCUUUUUCUUUUUAUCUGUUCGGCCAACUCGUGACCAUCUUCUCUCACUCUCUCUCCCUUUCUCUCUGUAUUUUUAUACUCUUUUUCAGUGUAUAUCAACUAAGAGUUAUCGUUUCCCGUAUUGGGUAACUUUCCUUAACAAGAGAUAUUUUAUUCUACUCUUCAUCCAAAACUCACUCUCAUCAUCAUCAUCGUGGUCUGAGCGGAGUAGUAUAUAAUCUGGGCUCUCUGUUUUUCUAUUUUGUUUUGUUUUAACAGAGAGAAAAAAAAAAGUUGAAGCUGUUUUCUACCUAAACUAUAAUCAAUUUAAUUCCUUGGAAAAAAGUCUCUUUAUUCCUGUGUUUUUUUCCUCUCUAUAGUUUUAUCUCUAUAAAAUAAAGAAUCUCUUUGGCUUUUUCUCACCCCCUGUUGUUUUCUCUCCCCUUAAAAUCGCAGUUUUCCUUAGUGUACUUUACAAGGGUUUAGGGUUUUGUGCAAUAUUUCUUUCUUUAGUCACUUGAAAAACAAGGUUGUAAUAAAAAUUCAAUCUCUCUCAACAUGUUCUAAAUUGUCUCAAUGUUUGAAUUUUUGUAAUAAUUAAUAAUUAUUUCCCACAUGUUUGUACCACAAAACAGUACUAAUCUACAAAUGUCUUCGUGUCUAACCGGAGGAGGGGGUAGAACUUAUGCAUUCGAAUUAGAAAUCGUGAAAUCGGCAUCAUCUACAUCAACUCGAAAUUCGAAUGCGAGUUCAUCAUCUCCACCAUCUUCAACUCUAUCAGAAUCAAGCAAUUCUGGUCUUGCAAUCACUACAAGAAAGCCCAGAACCCCUCGGAAACGACCCAACCAGACCUACAAUGAGGCUGCAGCAUUGCUCUCCACAGCUUACCCAAAUCUCUUCUCAAAUCCCAUUCAAUUCUCAAAAUUCCCUCCUCACUUCAACAAAACCCACGCUUACUCGCCCACCUCAUUCGAUGACUCCGCCGAUUUGCUCCUACCGUUUCAACUCAUCGACAACGACGAUGAAGAUGGCUCGGGCUUCUUGCUCCACCAUCGAAAACACACCUCUCGAGUCGAAUUGAAGCUGCCUGGUAAUUCUUCCACGUCGUGUCAGAGCCCGGGCGAGUUCGAUUCUCCGCCCAAUUCCAAUUGCGAUUCUGAAUUGAUGGAUUUGGGAGAGACUACUACUAAUUCUUCUACGGGAUACGCUUACCAGCAAGAUGAUGAUUUUGAUGCGGAAUCGAUUCUCGAUGAGGAAUUUGACGAGGGAGGAAUUGAUAGCAUUAUGGGGAAUCUGACGGUGGAUUCCUCCUCCACCGCCGCUGAAUCUAGCGUCGUAGGGGGAUUUUGUUACGGAUAUCCGAUGGGGUUGGGGUUGGGAUUGGAAGGGAGAUUUGAAUUAGGGUUGGGGAUUAUGAGAAGAGGAGGUGGAGGAAUUAGUGCUCUGAGAAAUGUUGAUGAGGGGAACUGGUGGAGCUUUCCCACAGUCGAUGUAAUGGAGCUUUCGCCCAAGUUUACGAAAGCUCCGUCUCCGGCGCCGGCACCUGAUAAAAAGAAGAAAAAGAAGGCGGUUGCAGCGGCGCCGGCGAAGGAAAAGCAAAAGGAGAAAUCGGCGCUUGUUGCAGAUUUGAUGAAGACUAAUAAUAAGAACAACGAAGGAUUGUCACUUAAGCUCAAUUACGACGACGUUUUGAAUGCUUGGUCCAAUAAAGGUUCACCGUUCUCUGACGAUGCUCCUCCGGGAUCAGACCUACCUGAAAAUGACGUCACCGCCAGAUUGGCGCAGAUUGAUUUGUUCCCGGAGGCAGGCGGAGUAAGAGAAGCUAGCGUAUUGCGAUACAAGGAAAAACGGCGUACGCGCCUCUUCUCUAAGAAGAUCAGAUACCAAGUUAGAAAAGUCAACGCAGAUCGACGGCCCAGAAUGAAGUUUGGAAAGGUGUCACACUAAAAAACAAAAUUAAAGAAAUUUACAACUUUUCUUUAAUUUUUGCCAAACUUAAGGGACGAUUUGUUAGAAGGCCAAAUUCAAGACAUGAGGGAAAGAUAUAACAUGUAGUCAAAAGGAAUUAUACUAUUUAUUAUUAUUAUUAUUGAGAAUUUCAGAUGAGAUGAGAUCACGAUCACCAUUUCUGGUGUCGACAUGUCCUUUGUUUUUUCAUAUUGAAUAGUUUUUUUUUUAAUUUUAUUUUAUGGUUUUUUGGUUUUGAAAAACGUUAAGCCAAAAAGAGGAAGGUAGUUAGAAGAGAAGAGUGAAGAAUCCAACAACUAAUAUUUUUUUUGCCUAUACAUGGUUCCUCACAGUGUAUUAUUAAUAUCUUUGUAAUUUUUUAAUUAGUCUUUGGAUCAUAUAUAUAAUAUAUGUGAUUAAAAUUUCUACUUU